CCUCACUGCAGCUCUGUCUCAUCUCUGUUUCCCGAUACAACAUCUGGUGACCCCGACGUGAUCCAGACACAGGACCCCCGACUCAUCGGCUGGCUUAGCCUUGGUGCACCACAGCGCAACGCGCUCCCUCAUUGCUGCAGUAUUACAACACAUCCGAACCCACAAACCGACCCUUUUUAUCUAGAGCCCAGCGCCAUUAUAGACAGACCGAGCCCCUUCCGGCGCCAAAGGUGAUAUAUCGCAAGUUGCCAGGACCAGAGUGGAGCCUGCCUGUGCCACUCAUCACCUGGGGCCGGGGCUACGCAGCAGUGUCAACUGAAACCGGCCCUGUGUGGGUUCCCGCUCGCUUUGUGAAGCCGUGGAGAGAUGGCCUGGCAU